CGGCGGGGGUCGCGGCGGGCGCGGGCGGGGGCCCCGCGGGACGGGGUCGCGUGAGCCCGGCGGGGGGGAGCCUCCCCGGAGGCCGCUUCUCGCCAGCGCUGGGGUGGGGCGGAAGCGUGGGACUCCUCGGGGACUGACCGCGGAGACCCCGACCCGGCGUUCAGGCCAGUGGGGUGCGGCUAGGUGGGGAGGGAAGACCUGAGGGUGCGCAGCCCCGCUUGACCCCCACGCAUCCUGUCCUUCGAGGGGAGGGCGAGUGAGGGGCCAGGACGCAGGGUGCCACAGUGACCUUCCGGGAUCCAGACAGAAGUUGGUGCUGAGAGGUGAAUGCCAAACGCACGCACGUUGUGAAAUUGACCCACGGCCCCGCGCUGGAGAGGAGUCCAGGAAAGAAACGCCCCGUCGGCGGAAAACUAAAGCUGGUUUCCUUCUGUUUUCUUCCCAGCGUUGGAAUGGCCCUGCAGACUUCACUGGGAGGUAAGGAAAGUUCUUUCAGGCACCAAAGCUCAUUCAUCUACCAGUGAGCACCAGGCCAGAGCCACCGCCUGAGGCAGAUCACACAGGAUGUCCUUCUGCCUGACCCAGGUCCCCAGGGCGCCUGUCUCCCAGCAUUCCCUGAGGCUUGAGCUUACCCUCCCGUGAUGGACCAAGGAACAGAUAUUUCAGAGCCUGCAGGAAAUUUCUUGUUCUGACUAAGACAAAAAACAAAAAACCUAGAGAGAGAGAGAGAGAUCUAGGUGCUACGGCUAUUGUGGGGUUGUUCUUUUCUCUUGACAAUCAUACAACACUGUUUCUGUGAGAAGCCUGAAGGAUUAGUUACAGAUGUGGCUACUGAGAAGAGCCUUGUGGGAAGCACCUUCCAGGGGGCAGACAGCCAUAUGGCAGACAGCCAGAAAUACCUGCAACUCUCCAAGCAAGCCUGAGCUCUCCAGGUGUGGUCUGGGGCGAUGUGAGGAGUGUGAGGAAGCAGACAUGAGAUGGACCAGGCGAAGACUGGCGCACUCCGCUGCGCGCCCAAAGAAGCGCUAAGCGGGUACCGUGGAGUGGAACGGAGUUGCAUCUCCUGUGGUGCCCACCCCUGCCACACGGGACACCACCUCAUCUCUCUCAGUGCCUCCCUGCUCUAACCAGGAUUCCCUCAUAAUGUUAGAGCCACGUUAGCAGCAUGCGCACUGGACAGGAGGGGCCCGAGAGCUGGGCUGCUUAACUGGAAGUUUGGAAGGGAAGGCCUCUGAAAACUUGAUGAAAGUUGUGAAUUGGACAAGAGCGUGAUGCGGCUGGAGAGAGAGCCGCCUUGUGAAGAGCAAGCUCUGCUCGUCUUUUCUGUUGCUUCGAUAAAAUAUCUUGACAGAAGAACACAAGGACUUGGGGAAGCGAGGUUGUUUUUGGCAUGUGUUCUACUGAGACAGGACUAUCAUGACUUUGAAGGUGUGGCCAUAGUCAGAGAAAACAUGGCAGCAGGAGCAGGAAGCUGGCUGACCACACACUCAGGAGGAGGGGCCAGGCUUAUCAAAUGUCAAAGCAAGCUGUCAGAGCUCACCCUCAGUGACGCACGUCCUCCAGCAAGACUCAGCCUCUUAAAGGUUCCAGAACCUCCCCAGAGAGCACCUAUGCCCCUAGACCGAGUGUUCAAACGUGAGGCUGCAGAGGGCGUUUCUCAUCUAAGCCACCACACUGCUAUUCCAGGGACCCAAGUUUGAUUCCUAGCACCCAUAGACUACUCACAGCCACUUGUAAUUCCAGAUCAGGGAGAUCUGAUGCCUCAGGCCUUCAUAGGCACCUGCAUUUACAUACACAAGCCUACACACACACACACACACACACACACACGCAUACUUAAAGCAGUGAAUAUAUUUUAAGUGCAUGCACACCUGCCUCAUGGUCCAUGCGCUCUCAUGGAGUGAUCAGAUCCAGCACCCGAACUGUAUGGACGUGUACAGCUGAGAGCUGGCCAGCAGAGUGAGGGAGAGGGUAGGCGAGGGUCGAAAGGGAACUCAUGGCUGUCCUCACUGCUGCCUGCUUCCCUUAGGUGAUGCGGGUGCCUCACCCCCGAAGCCUGGGCACGGCACCGGAGGGGCACACACUUGGCCCCGGUCCAGCCUCACUCCAGCACGGCGACGUGACCCGCCGCAGGCUCACACCGGACAUGGCUGAGCGCUGCCAGGCACCUUUACUUUACUUUCACAGCAGGCCCAAAAGGAAAUAGUCACAAUCUUUGUCUUGGCUUCAGGAAGUAAGCAAAAGCCUCCUGAUGGUAUAUUAUUUACUGGUCAUUCACUGGGCCAAGGCAUCCUGUUGAGUUUGAUAUUAAAUUCAUUUUUUGGUCACAAAGCCAUAUUUUAUAACUAAGGAAAUUGAGGCUGAGAGAGUGUUCACUCGUGGUAUAGAGUUACUAACCCUGGUUUCUGCAGUUCCAAACUCUUUGACAAGACUCAGUAUGCUCUACCUUGUCCCCAACAGCCUUGCAGCAUACAGUGACCAUUGCCUAGGACCGGAGGGUUUGGUUAGCAAGUCAAACAUUCACUUAUUUUUUUAUGUAUAUGGAUAUUUGUGUGUGUGUGUGUGUGUGUGCAUGCGUGCCAUAUGCAUGUCUGGUGCCUGAAGAGGUUAAAGAGGGCAGUGGAUGCCCUGGAACUGGAGUUAUGGACAGUUUGGGAGCUGAACCUGGGUCCUCUGCAAGAGCAGCCAGUGCUCUUAAUCACUGAGCCAUCUCUUCAGCCCUAGUUAUUAAAAGUCUAAAAAUAUGUUAAUGUUCAGGACACAGGCUCUAGUGGAGUAGAUUAAGAGUGCAGGAGAUGUCAAACUUCCUGAUUUUCCUGGAGCUGGGCUCUCAUAUCUCCUGGGUUUCCUGUGGAAAAGCUGCAAUAAAUCUUCCACACUGCACAUGUCCUGUUACAAUAUGACGGCCAGACCUCCUGUCAACAGUCUUAGUCGGAAAUGUCUUGCUUUGAGCAGUAGAAUUUGUUGGAAGUGAUGUUGCGUUUAACUUUUGUCAUGUUACCCUGAAAGCACCCCUUACAUAAGCUGUCAACACUGAUGGAAGAUGGGGGCGCUCAGAAGAACCAGAACAUCCCAGCCAGCACCAAGCACCACAUGCCAAGAAGACCCCUGUGUUGUAGCCUAGCUUUCAGCUCUGCACGGCAUGCAGGGGACACUAGGUGAUGCCACAGAGGAGCCCUGGCAACCACGCCAUCAAGGGAAAUGACAAUUCAGCCGUGAUUCUAUUCUUCAAAACCCAUAGGUCUUCCCAAAUCCCACUGUGCCCACUAAUAAACUACAAAGCCAGCAAGCUGAAAAGAUGAAGAGAGUAAGCAUGCCAGCCACUGGGCAAGAAAGACUUUUGACGGUCAGGGCGCAGCCACUGACUACAGCUGAGGAAAUUAUGAUACGUGCUUCUGAGAGGGGAAAUGAUAGGAAGCCCUGGGUUUGAUUGACCUCUCGCACCACGUAGACCUGGUAUGGUGGUGCACACCUGCAAUCCCAGCCCUCGAGAGGAGGCAGGAAAAUCAGAAGUACAAUACCAUCCUGGACUGCAUAGUGAGUUAAGGCCAGCAUGAGCUACUAGAGACCUGUGUCAAGACUAAAAGAACACACACGGACGUGUACACCUGAAAUAACAGUUAUGCUGAGAGUGCGUGGUUUCUAGAUGACUGGUUCCACUUCGCCUCAGUGACAGACCGAAUACCCAGACUCUGGUGUUCUGUUACAGCAACAGAAAAACAGAUGAAGACAAAGCUCACAAACCUUGGUAGAAGUCUUGGUGGUGACCUCUGGGGUUUGGGAGAUCAACUUAGUAAACAGCAACCUGUGAUUACGGUGAGAAGUGAAGUGGGCUGAGAGAGCUUUGAAGACAAAGAGACCGGGCCAGACGCCCUGCAGAUGGAUUUAUUAGAGGAGGCGAAACAAGGAAAGCAGACCUGCAGGCCCACAGCAGGAUGUAAUCCGUCAGGCAGCUGACUCUACAUAUUGCUGUUGGGAAGCCAGCGAAGUUGGUCAAAACAGGAUGGGUUUUGUUUUGUAUUUUUUAAAAUGGUGUCAGGCUGUGCUGGCUAUUUUUACAUCGACUUAACACAAGCUCAAGUUGCCUGAGAGGAGGGAGCCUAAAUUGAGAAAAUGCUCCCAUAGAGUCUGGUUGUAGGCAAGGCUGUAGGGCAUUUUCUUAAUUGGUUAUUGGUGGGAGAGGGCCCUGCCAUUGUGGAGGAGUGGAGCCAUCCCUGGGCUGCUGGUCCUGGGUUCUAUAAGAAAGAUGGCUGAGCAAGCCAUGGGAAGCAAGCCAGUAAGCAACAACCUCCAUGGCCUCUGCCUCAGCUCCUGCCUCCAGGUUCCUGCCCUGCUUGAGUUCCUGUUCUGACUUCCUUCUAUGAUGAACAGUCAUGUGGACAUGUAAGUUGAAUAAACCCUUUCCUCCACAGCUUGCUUUGGUCAUAGUGUUUUCUGUCAGCAAUGAAAGCCCUAGGCAAAUGCUACAUGAAUGGUAUAAACAAUUCUCAAAUACUUUUCAUCAUCUUUCCCCAACUUUGUACAUGAGAACAGUCAUUAAUACCAGGGAAUUAUUAGCUACCAGCUUACACUGUACUUUGUACACUUUGAUUCAUGUGCUGUCUGAUUGCCCCACUGCUGUCUGUGUCUGGCCAGGGAGCCCAUCGGCCAUCAACAGAGCAUUCAGCUGCUGUGUAUCCUUGGUCCCUGGGCUGAGAUUGUCCCACAGCUGAUUCUUUUGAGAUCUUAAUACUUCUGAAAAGUGCUACUGGGCUGUUCAUUGGAGAAUGUCAUUUAUUUUGUUUUUCAAGAUGGGAUUUCUCUGUGUAUCCCUGGCUGUCCUGAACUCUCUCUAUAGACCAGGCUGACCACGAACUCAGAGAUCCACGUGCCUCUGUCUCUCAAGUGCUGGUGCUAAAGGCAUGUGCAACCACCACCUGGCUUGCAGAAUAUCCUUGAAUUGGGGUUUGCCUGAUGUCUUCUCACACUGGCCACUGGUGACGGGAACACCGUAGGUUAUGCUGAUGCAGCCCAGACUCAAGGCAGUGGUCCAGGAGGUCCCACGGGAGACUGCUGCUACAGUAUUGGUCACCUGGCUCAGGUGCUGUCGCCUUUUUCCCGUAGGCCACCACCUUCCCCCUGGCUGUGUGAAGUGUCUCCUGAUGACAUUAUGCACACAUCCUCUCUGUCUCUUACGUCUCCUCCCACGCGUUUCCAUAGAGGGCCUCUUAAAAUAAUCAUUGCUUGUCAAGUGGUAGAUCUGUGUCCACCACGCUUCCCUAGGUGGAAAAACCGGUUCCUUCCCAGGAACUCAUUAGUUUUCGCACAGUUAUCCCUGGUGUCUGCGGGAGCCAGGGGUGCUUCCAGGACUGGUAGAGAAUACGCAGUCCAUGGAGACUCCAAGUUUCUUACAUGAAAUGGUUUGGCAUUUGAAUAUAACACAAGUGUCCUACAGUCAGGGCCUUUUCCGAGCACGUAUAAUGCCUACCAUACAUAAACACUUCAACAAUAGCUGUUGAACAGCUUGUUCAGGGGAUGAAAGGAAGACCUUGUUCAGUAUAGACGGGGCUUUUGAAGUAGUUUUGUUUUGCAGUUGGUAGGACCCACAGGUAGAGGCUGUCUGCACUUACCUGUAUCAAUGAUGUGAAUUAUUUUAUCUGUACUCUUAUAAUGUUUUGUGAUUUUUAUGCUGUUGUCACUCAGUAGCUGUUGUGACUGAUUCCUGUCCAUACUUAUAGAGGCUUCAGUCCAUGACUGGUUCGCCCAUUGCUUUGGGGCCAUGGCCAGGGGCACAGUGUGGUGGGAUCAGGUGGCAGGACCCUUCAACUCUUGCCUGGAAUGGAAAAAAAAGAAGAGGAGAAAGAAGCUAAGUCCCUGAUGUCCUCCACAAAGACUUGCUUCUCUUUAGGCCCCACCUCUUAAAGGUCCCACAGCCUUCCAGUGGUGCUAUUUUAGGGAGCAGGCCUUCACCACAUUUGGGAGACAUUUACCCAAAUGAUUGCAUUAAAUAGCUGGUUUCUUUGGCCUCCUGAAGUGGAUGGGCCAGGGCCUGUGUAGCAGCCUUCCACCACGAGUUCGGUUUCCCAGGCUCCUUAUGCCUUUCUCUUCUUCCAUGCUUAGGAUAUGGCGUGUCUUCUGUUUUCAAGGUUGCCAUAUGGUCAUGGCAUGGUAACCAUGGCUCCAGACAUCACAGCCUCGGUCCAGACCAGAAAAGGAAAAGGAAAGUGGGCAAAGGUCAGCUGAGCCACCUUGAAGAGCUGCCUCGGAAGCGCUCUGAGCAGUGUCUCUCACCUCAUUGGCCAUGGCUUGCAUCCUGCCUGCAAGUGAGUGGGAAAUGCAGCCAGGUGCCUUGCUCCCUCAACUAAACAGUGGGAGUCUCUAAGAAGGAAAGGAAUGAGUACACAGGGUUGGAGGUCAUGAUCUCACCUGUUGGGGUGGUGUGGCAUGGACCCCGUCACCACUGAGACAAUGGGUAGUGUUUAUGAAUGAGAGGUCACCUUUGUGGAUGGUUUGGUUUAUGAUAUGUAAACAUGUUUUUGUUAAAUUCCAAAUUGUGGGUUUCAGACUGUUAAGUGUGGAACAUGGUCUUUGCCAGGUGGAAUUAGUUGGAUUCUGAGUACUCUGAGGGAGGGAGGGGUGUAAAUAUGACAGCCCAGAGGAAGACAGCGCAGAUGCUUGGAGGAGGGUUCUCAUCCUGUUGCUGCAUUUGCUGUUUGCUGAUUUGCUGGUCACCUGGACUUCUGGAUUUCUGGACAACUGAUACUGGUAUUGCCCCAAAAAGAAUCCUCUGACCCUACCCAUCGGGAAGUAGCCAAGAGAGCUCCACCCCGUCUCCGUUAAGCUAACCUUCUUUCUCUCCUACCUGGUGUUGAGGGGUUGGAAGGGAGGUAGAAGUGUUUAAUAACCCUAAAUAAAGUAG